rnacentral:rRNA from 1 species
GUGAACGCUGGCGGCAUGCCUAACACAUGCAAGUCGAACGCCUGUAGCAAUACAGGAGUGGCGCACGGGUGAGUAACGCGUGGGAACCUGCCUAGUGGUAAGGAAUAACCGCGGGAAACUGCGGCUAAUACCUUAUGAGCCCUACGGGGGAAAGAUUUAUCGCCAUUAGAGGGGCCCGCGUCCGAUUAGCUAGUUGGUGAGGUAACGGCUCACCAAGGCUCCGAUCGGUAGCUGGUCUGAGAGGAUGAUCAGCCACACUGGGACUGAGACACGGCCCAGACUCCUACGGGAGGCAGCAGUGGGGAGUAUUGGACAAUGGGGGCAACCCUGAUCCAGCAAUGCCGCGUGAGUGAUGAAGGCCUUAGGGUUGUAAAGCUCUUUCGACGGGGAAGAUGAUGACGGUACCCGUAGAAGAAGCCCCGGCUAACUUCGU